CCAAAACCUGAUAAAAAGUAAUAGAGUUUUCAAUCCUUGAUAAUUUUGCCAAAGGAUAACAGCCAUUGCCUGCAUGAAGUUAACAUAUUUUCUAAUCAGUAUGGAAAAAAAAAAAGCACAUAACAAAGAGCAAAGUAAAUGUGGCCAAGCCUGCAACUGUGUUUCCUUUGAUUAAAGUAAACAAUGAUUUAAAAGAAUUGUGCAGAAAAAGAUUGGGAAAAGAACUCAGCUCUUAUAGUGAUAAAAUUACCAAAUAAUAGGAAACAAGAAAUAUGUUGAAGUUGAAGGAAAAUUGGAGAGACAAUUUUACUAUGAUGAUUAGAAUUUAGCACUCAAGUUCAACAAAUACAUAACAAAUACAUGUGGAUGAUGUGACGGGAUGAUAGACCACUAAUUCAGCUUGUAGCCUUCAACUCCAUGAACAUCGAAUCAAGCAGUUGCAGCUUGCCAUUUGCUUUUAUAUCAACAUCAAUAAAUUCAGCCUCAUCAAGGCAAACAAAAAGUCAACUUUUCACUCUUUGAUCAACAAUAGAAGGAUGAAUAUAACACUGUCAACGGAUAAAAGUAACAAAUGACCUUGUUCAAAAAAUAUAUAAAAGCUUUAAAUUUGGCUGGAGUAUCGAUAUGCUGAACACGCUCCAACUCCCUCCCAAAUAAUCUUUCACUGGAUCUGAUCACGCCGUUUGAUCGUUCCUCCUCGACGCCUCUAUCAACGACGAUCGAUAGAUCUAAUUUGCCCACCCAAAUGCUGAGCAUGCUCCUGCUUCCUUCCUAGCACCUCUUUCUAACUCCGCAGAUUUUCAUCAUAAUCUCUGGAGGGGUUUGAUGGUUCAUAACUAUAGGAGAUGAUUUGAAAUUUUAUAGAAGAAAAGAAAUGGAAUUAGAAUGAGAUUGAACAUGGAUCAAUUUUACUCCUGAAGCAAAUUAGGAUUUCAAAGAUAUAUAUAUAUAUAUAUAUAUAUAUAUAUAUAUAUAUAUAUAUAUAUAUAUAUAUAUAUAUAUAUAUCACAAAUGAAAAAAGAGAAUAAAAGCGAGGAGAUGAGUGGGGUUUUAAAGAGAGAGAGAGAAAAAAAGGAAAGGGCACCAUAAAUAAAGAAAGAGAAGAAAAGGGAGAAGAUGAGUGUAACAGAAGAACUCUUGAAGUGACUUUUUUUUAGAAUAAAAAAAACUCAACAAAAGAAAAAAAUUUCACGUCGGAUAUGAAUCCAAUGAAAUAUCAUUGUUAAUAGAUAUGAUAAAAAAAAUUCAAAUUGGUUGCUUAAAUUGGUUAUUAUAUUAAUGACCGAUUUUUUUAUUCCAUAAAAUCCGUUAGUAUUCUAAAUUUUUUUUGUAGGGCACGAUGCUUCUUGUUGUGCAGGCUUCAGGCACUUUACUCUCGUCCUUAAAAAAAUUAUAGUUAAAAGUAAUGUAAUUGUAAAUAUUUUAUAGUAUACAUUAAAUUUACGUUUAAAGUGUCCAAUACUUUAAUUUUUUAUUUUAUAUUUAAUUAUAAUUAUUAAAAAUAUCAAUAUGUAGUUAUAAAAUUCUUAGAAGCAAUCUGUUACUAAAUAUAUUUGAAGACAUCUAAAAUAAUUUCUCCUACUUUUGACUAUCUAUUUGCGUUGUAAAACAUGGUAAUAAAUAUAUUUCUUCCAUCUACAAACUGCUUGUUAUCGCGCUUUUUAUUUUCAAUAUGGAGGUAAGUUUGGUGUCUUGCCUCGUUAUGGAGCACACAGGUGCUUAAUUUGCAUGUGGUGACAGUGGAACACAAUUCGGACCGAGGGAGUUGUGGUAGAAGAACUCGGAUGGUCCGAUUAGAGGGAACAACUCGGACCGUCCGAUUUGUGCUGUAAAGGCCACAUGGCGCAAUGUGGUUCACCCCAUGGACGGUGCCCCUUAUACCAACAUGCUAGACUAUACUCACUCCCUCCGAGUCCCUUUCAAAAACCCCACAGCCAUACCUUUCCUCUUUUCUUCUUCUUCUUCAACCUCCAAAACACCAUUGUUGUUUAUGCAAGUUGGAAGAAAAAAUCCAUAAUGCCAAGGAAACAAAAAUAUAAAGAUGUUGAUCGUCCUGAACUUCAUAUUAUACAUUAUCUUAGCCACCUUGAUUAUAGUUUACAGUAUCUGACAUAUGAUCACCCACUCUCUCCGGAUCGGUACAAUGAUAGGGUUGAGGAGCAUUUUUACUGGUUUCUUGCAUGUUUCCCAAAUUGGAGUAGUUCAAUGUCAAAAAGCACUUGUAAAUGCACUAGUCGAAAGGUGGCACCCAGACACACAUACCUUUCACCUUCCUGUUGGUGAAUGUGCUGUAACACUGGAAGGUGUUGCUCUUAUCCUUGGUCUUCCAACAGAUGGUCUUCCAGUCACAGGGAUGACUAUGAGUAGUUUUGAAGCCUUAGAGGCGGCGUGUUUGCAGCAAUUUGGGGUUGCACCGAGGAAGUCAGACUGUAGAGCAAGCUGCAUAAAACUGACCUGGCUUCGAGAUCUUAAAGAAAUAAUACAGUUGGUUGACAAAACCAGCAUGCAGAGGUACGUGAAGUGCCACAUUAUGCUAUUAUUUGGUACAGUCUUGUUUGGUGAUAAGUCUGGGGCAUCUGUGCACUAGAAGUCCUUGCCUUUGCUUCGUGAUUUUGGUAGUAUCGGAUAGUACAGUUGGGGAUCUGCAUGCCUGGCACACCUGUACAGGUCAUUAUGCAGGGCAUCUUGUUUUGACUGCAAGGAAAUCGAUGGUCCGCUAACGCUUUUGCUAACCUAGGCUUGGAUCUGUCUCCCAUAUCUAGCUCUGGUUCCUCGGGAACCCUGCAGUUUUCUGCUUGCAAAUAGGUGGCGUAACUGGGAGCGUGGAGACCGACGCUUUAGGUACCUUACACUAGAGCAUUUUAGAAAAAACUUGGAUGAUCUCCAGGAAGGCCAGUUUGUGUGGCUUGCUUAUGCUGUGGAUCGCAUUGAUUCGGAUAUAAUUCCUGCAGAUAUCUACAUGCACUCGGUUAUGUGGAGCGCUACGGUGCCUCUAGUGUCUUUUGAAAUCAUUGAGUGGCAUGCAACCGAUAGGUUUAGGAGACAAUUUGGUUUUGUUUAGGGAGUUCCUCACCAGGAACGGAAUCUUGACAAGACGCACGGAAUGGUCCUGACUGGUCCUAAGAAUCUUAACUGGGCAAUGGCCACGACUCAUUCGUUUUGGGUGAUGUAGUGGACAAACAGGUAUAACCAUAUUCUUACUGAGCUUCCCAUGCCUCCACAGCAUCCGUUGGAUAUUUACAUGCACUGGUACCGUCAAGAUAUGGCAACCACCUGAAUCUGUCAGAUCGUGUGGUUCAAGAGAAUGAUUAGGGUAAUCAAGUCUUGGAUGAUGACAAUGGAGAAUAGGAGCCACAGUCACCGCCACCUCCACCACCACCGCCACCUCCACCUCCACAUACAUAUGAACAACCGCAAUGCUCAAACCCAUAUGUACCUCAAACACAGUUUACCACAUCAUAUCCGAGACAUCAGCAGUAUUGGGGUACUCCACAGCUUGACUCAGGAGAUGGAGCAUCUUUUAGCCAGUUACUUGGAUUCAUGGCUGCAGAAGCAGGCCAAUCACAGUACGGUCAUCAGCCUGAUAUCAUGCCUGGUAGGUAUUCGUUGGACGCGAUGCAUCCAUACCACAUUUCCUCGGUUAGUACCGGAGGGUUGGUAUCUGGUGACUCAAGUAGGAGUGAUGGUGGUAGAGGAAUUCUUAAUAGUCAAAAUCCUCAUCGUGUUUCAAAAGGUCUAAUUGAAGAAAAUGCUAAUACAACUGAUCUAGAGACGGAUGAGUAUCUAGUUGACACCCCAGAUGACGAGGAUGACGAUGAGGAGGAAGAUGAAGAGAUGGACGAAGAUGAAGAAUCGAAUAAUGAUGCUUUCGAUGAUGGGUUGAUCCACCACGUCGUAGCGCUAAUCGAUACACUCCAUCUGUGUUCAAAAGGAUCACCAAGAAAUGCAAGGAUCUUGUGGGCAAGGAGAAAGUAGAUUUCGUGUAUUUAGUAUUAUUACAGUGUACUUCAUCGAACACUUUUCCAUGUAUUGUUUAAAUGUUCUAUGGAU